GGGUUCGGAGGUGCUGGUGGCCUCGCUGGCGUAGAACGGCCUCAAACGGCAAGCAAGAACCACAAGCGGCCUCAGGCUCGAUCAGGCCGGCGGGAUCCGGACGAGAGGAGGAAGGAGGGACAGGUGGUCAAAGGGGUGAGGUGGUUCUCGGUGGGGUGGGGCAAAAGGGGAGCGGCCUCACGAACAAAGCGGCCUCGUGGGGCGGCGGGCUUCGAGAAACAUCGGAAGACAGUGGCACCGGAGGGGAGGUAAGGUGGGCAGGAGCCACGAGUAAGACGGAGACUUGCCCUUGCGUUGCAGCGGGACGUGGGAGGUCAUGGGAGUCGAAGGAGCCUAUAGCGACCUCAGCGGGCAAAGUAGCAGCCUGCGGGCGGAGACAUGGAGGAGGACAGUGGCGGGAGCAGCAGCAAGCGCCGGAGGGGACGCGGAGGAGAACGACCCUUACCUCCGCGGUCCGAGGCGGGUCGGACGUCCACGUGAGCCGAGCCGGCUUCCGGCGGACUCGGCCGGCGGUGUAGCGGCCGUCGCGCCGGGGAGGGGGCGGAGAAGACAGGGCGUGCCCCCUCGUCGCCCUCCUUCUUCUGUGGGCACGGAUCGGGGGGACGACGACCCGGGUCGGGCAGUCACCGGCUCCGCGGGGCGACUGCACCUAUUCACCACCGCGCUAAGGACCUCAAGCGAAGGAAGAGGACCUUCACAUAAAGGACUCAUGCAAAAGAGGAGAACUUUCGCAUAAGGAGAACAAGAAGUCCGCAUUUGCGCGAAAGGAGGUGCCUUUCGCAUAAAAGAGUUUAUGCAAAGACGGAAUAGGUGAGUCCCUGGAUAAACGCACUAUAAAAACGUCUUAUCAGGGACUAGAAGGUUGGCAAUGUUGAAAAGUUGGCAUUGAGGCUAAUUCGGGGGAGGCUCUCUCUUGGCAGGCUGCAAAGCAAGACGCCGAAGUGGCGUGAAGAAGGGUUUGAGAGGCAGUGGGGGUCCGUUCAGUGUUGUCGGUGAACGUACUAUCAAUACGUCAUCGGAACCUAAAAUUGAACUUAUUAUUUUCAAAUGGCAAUAGACAAACGAACAAACGGUGACAACAGCAACAAAGCCAAUACGAGCACCUAAGAACAGGUAGAAGUACGAUACAAUACUACGUAGUACUAUAGAACACGAUGAACGAUUAUAGUAAAAGUGUACAGUACGAACAACCGUCAUUAUGUACGACCAUCUUCAGUACAAGAAAGACUACGUACGAAUAGCAGACAAUAAGUCAUGGCAACAAUACAAAGAAGGCAACGUAGAUAAACCAAUGUACAAAUGAACCAUCACAAGAACGAUACAAGAACGUACCAUAAAUAAGUACUACGAUCACCAGUACUACACGAAUACCAUCUCAAUACGAACACAAUUAGUACGAGCAGUCAUACGGUACGAGUAAGCCUAUAUACAAAGUAACACCAAUACGAGCUACUAAUACAACGUGGAGGUACGAAUACAACUAUAGUACGAGUACGUAGUAUCAACAUAGAACAAUAAAAGUACACUGAAUCGAAUAACGUAAGUUCAAAUUGGCCUGAAUUAACUUGAACUUGUUGACAACCGACUCGGUACCACGGUGACUUAGCUCGACUGGUCACGUUGGUGUAAACGGAAAUACCAUUCCAGGAUUGACCCAGAUAACAGUACGGAGAGCGGCCACGGAGGUUACUCCCUUCCAAUACCCGCGCGCGAUGGGAUUAGUUCAUCCGCCUGUACUUGGAACACAGGGACAACAACAACAACAUACCUAGGUACAGGGGCAAACCCUGGCAAAUAAACGGUGCUGCCCACCGACAACUACGGAAACCAUCCGUGCCCCGGUGGGUACUGAAUCGGAUCUCCCCUCAACCAGCCUCACCGGCUCACUCACAGUACCCGUCAUCUAGUCAAAACAGCUUUGCGGCAACCAGGUGGGCUUACCCUCACGCUUCGGUACCCAAGGCACCACACCCAUUUCACGCGAUGGAGACGUCUCACACACAUAAUUUAGAUAGUUAUCGGCGUGGGCGCCUAUACCCGGGUUAAGCCUCAGCCAGUGCGAUACCCAGUUUUUAUUAUUAAUAAUACAUGAAUUAAUGUUAGGACCAAGCUACUACUUUCUUCAACCAACUAGAAAUACACUAGCACUCACCUAGUGACACCACAGCUACUAUGGUUCAACAACCUAUAAACACCACAAUACGCUCUUAGUGCCCAUUUCCAGUUCGAGGAACACCAGUACAUUAUUAAUGAUGCCAUAACAAUAUGGUUCGAACUAAACUAGGACUCUACUAGUACACUACUAGCGCCACCAUUCCUUACGUACAAAACCAAUGCUCCAUUGGCGACUCGUUCUCAUUCAACCACGUACUAAUACAAUUGGACAACGUACAUCAUAGUAACACAAGUAUACUAGCACGGUACAAUUGCAACAUAGUACAAGUCAACACGUAUGGUACAACAAGACAAUUAUGGUACGAGUACUAACGAAAUUGGAUGAUUACGGUACAACAACAAACAGAACUGACGAAAACCAAUAACACUCGAACGUCCAUGUAAAUUACAUGACUGGACCGCACAGUACGGUCAAACGUCCAGCACAGAAAACGAACGAACAACCCACACAAAGGAUACAAGCGCUCGGUCCUAUUUGCAAGGUCGGUCUCAGGGACGCCAAACCUCAGGUAGUAGCGGCAAGCAACAAGGCGACGGUUAUCAACAAGGCGACGGUCAUCUCCAAGACGACGGAGCUCAACAAAACGACGAAAGUAUCUCGUUGACACCAACCGCAUCACAGCAGCACGGCCACAAUGAAUAAUAUUAUAGCCUCUGGAACAUAAGUAUAAGCCCAACAUUAUCUCUCAACCAAACAAGAUACGAUCCGUCACGGCAUAAGGUCUUGUGAAGUGGAACUAGAGACCCAACCUUAUGCCCACGCAAGGCCAAAGAGACUCGGCCCCACGGUGUCUUCUGAUAGUAGCCCCUGUAAAAAAUCCCCAUAGCCCCUGGAUCAUCCAUAGUAAAAAAGAUCUCCCGCUUGUUCAUAGUUGACCCAACACCGGACGGGUAUCCAAAAAAAUGAACGCGUCGGGUGCUGUA
rnacentral:rRNA from 1 species